ensembl:lncRNA
GUUGCAUUGGACCACACGGGCCAGCCUUCACCCUCCACAUGCAUCAGUGAACCAGGUCCCCAUCACAUAAUUUGGACUAAGGAACAAACGGAGACGUUUAUACUUCUCCGUUUAGAAAAACAGCAGCUGUUUACCGGGGGAAGGACACCGCGGCCAACGGAUAUCGGCUUAUUUUGGAGAAGAUGGGGAUCGGAGGGUCACCCACGCCCAGGCCAAGAAGAAGUGGGACAAUCUGAAGACCAAGUACAAGGUGGGAGAUAUUGUACUUUGGGGAUAUUAAUGUAUGGACAAUUGUUAUGCACAUCUUAAUGUAACUUGUGAUUUUUUUAAGUAAGCCUUGGAUGUCAACCUGACAGACUUGGGCCAGCUGACAGUAAGUUUAGAUGUAGUGUUGUGUACUAUAGUAGUAAUACAUCAUCACAACAACCUUUUGAUCUUCACUGUUGUAGGAAUGCAAGUGUCCUGCUACAGGUCAGGGGACAGAGGAUGGCAAGGCGACGGCAGCAACUUGGCCCUGGUUUGCCCUCAUGGACGAGGCAUUAGGGCAGUCUGCGGCAGUCUCGCCCCCCUGCCUUAUUGCCUCGAUCCAAGAGGACAAACCAGGGCGAAGCACUGCACAAGAGGUAGAGGAAGGGAGAGAUGAGGAGGAGCAGGAGGAGCGAGCCACAUGCAGCAGCAGAGAGAGAGCAGGGAACAGAGGAGAGAAGAGGAGAAGGGAGAGAGUGGAUCCAUUCCUACAGCUACUGAAGGAGGACAUAAAAUACCAGAGGGAGGCAGAUGAGAGAAGGGAAGCAGAGACCAGAGAGAGGUCAAAUAGAUUUUUUUCAUUGUUGGAGAGGUUGGCGG